rnacentral:rRNA from 1 species
AGAGUUUGAUCCUGGCUCAGGACGAACGCUGGCGGCGUGCUUAACACAUGCAAGUCGAACGAGAGCGUAGAGAAAGCUUGCUUUUUCUACAAUCUAGUGGCAAACGGGUGAGUAACGCGUAAACAACCUGCCCUACGGAUGGGGACAACAGCUGGAAACGGCUGCUAAUACCGAAUACGUUCCGAAAGUCGCAUGACUAUCGGAAGAAAGGAUGGCCUCUAUUUAUAAGCUAUCGCCGGAGGAGGGGUUUGCGUCUGAUUAGCUAGUUGGAGGGGUAACGGCCCACCAAGGCGACGAUCAGUAGCCGGUCUGAGAGGAUGAACGGCCACAUUGGAACUGAGACACGGUCCAGACUCCUACGGGAGGCAGCAGUGGGGAAUCUUCCGCAAUGGGCGAAAGCCUGACGGAGCAACGCCGCGUGAGUGAAGAAGGAUUUCGGUUCGUAAAGCUCUGUUGUUAGGGAAGAAUGAUUGUGUAGUAACUAUACACAGUAGAGACGGUACCUAACCAGAAAGCCACGGCUAACUACGUGCCAGCAGCCGCGGUAAUACGUAGGUGGCAAGCGUUGUCCGGAAUUAUUGGGCGUAAAGGGCGCGCAGGCGGCUUCUUAAGUCUGUCUUAAAAGUGCGGGGCUUAACCCCGUGAUGGGAUGGAAACUGGGAAGCUCAGAGUAUCGGAGAGGAAAGCGGAAUUCCUAGUGUAGCGGUGAAAUGCGUAGAUAUUAGGAGGAACACCAGUGGCGAAAGCGGCUUUCUGGACGAAAACUGACGCUGAGGCGCGAAAGCCAGGGGAGCGAACGGGAUUAGAUACCCCGGUAGUCCUGGCCGUAAACGAUGGGUACUAGGUGUAGGAGGUAUCGACCCCUUCUGUGCCGGAGUUAACGCAAUAAGUACCCCGCCUGGGGAGUACGACCGCAAGGUUGAAACUCAAAGGAAUUGACGGGGGCCCGCACAAGCGGUGGAGUAUGUGGUUUAAUUCGAC